rnacentral:rRNA from 2 species
CCUGGCGGCUUUAGCGCGGUGGUCCCACCUGACCCCAUGCCGAACUCAGAAGUGAAACGCCGUAGCGCCG